UGGCCCGGCCCGGGCCGCCAGCCGCCCCGGCAUCAUAUACUUCGGCGGAAGAGGUAGGCGUCGACCUGCCCGCCGCCGGCCGCAACGACGACACAUCUUUUUGAGAACCUGAAGUCUGAGGCGAAGAUGAAAACAGAAGCAAAACUUUCAACAACGGAUCUCUUGGCUCUGGCAACGAUGAAGAACGCAGCGAAACGCGAAAGGUAAUGUGAAUUGCAGAAUUCAGUGAAUCAUCGAAUCUUUGAACGCACAUGGCGCCUUCCAGUAUCCUGGGAGGCAUGCCUGUCCGAGCGUCGUUUCAACCCUCGAGCCCCCGUGGCCCGGCGUUGGGGAUCUGCCAUGGCAGGCCCCUAAAACCAGUGGCGGACCCGAAGGGCCCUCUCCUUUGCGCAGUAGCAUCAGCCUCGCAUCGGGAGCCCUCGGCGUCCUGCCUCUAAACCCCCCACAAGCCCGCCUAGCGGCACCAAGGUUGACCUCGGAUCAGGUAGGAAUACCCGCUGAACUUAAGCAUAUCAAUAAGCGGAGGA
rnacentral:rRNA from 1 species